rnacentral:rRNA from 1 species
AGUGAACGCUGGCGGUAGGCCUAACACAUGCAAGUCGAACGGCAGCACAGUAAGAGCUUGCUCUUACGGGUGGCGAGUGGCGGACGGGUGAGGAAUACAUCGGAAUCUACUUUUUCGUGGGGGAUAACGUAGGGAAACUUACGCUAAUACCGCAUACGACCUACGGGUGAAAGCAGGGGAUCUUCGGACCUUGCGCGAUUGAAUGAGCCGAUGUCGGAUUAGCUAGUUGGCGGGGUAAAGGCCCACCAAGGCGACGAUCCGUAGCUGGUCUGAGAGGAGGAUAAGCCACACUGGAACUGAGACACGGUCCAGACUCCUACGGGAGGCAGCAGUGGGGAAUAUUGGACAAUGGGCGCAAGCCUGAUCCAGCUAUACCGCGUGGGUGAAGAAGGCCUUCGGGUUGUAAAGCCCUUUUGUUGGGAAAGAAAAGCAGCAGGUUAAUACCCCGCUGUUCUGACGGUACCCAAAGAAUAAGCACCGGCUAACUUCGUG